CAUAUUUCUCAAGGGUAGUUGUGUAGGUCUGUUCAGCACGGGGCUACUUGUUCCUGCAACUACUAACACCCCAAAAGUCCAUUACCAGUAGAGAAGAAGGAGCGGACUUAAAAGGGAGAGAUUAAAAGGUGAGCAAUAAUUGCUUUCUAGGAAGCGCCACAGCCAGGGAACCUGGACCAGCUGCCUGGUAGAACUAACAGCUCAACCUACACAGCUGGACAUGCUUUUCAAACAACACUUAGUUUCUCUACCUUCUCUACCGUUUAGUCAAGUCAUGGUAUGAGUCACUCAAAGGAGGAAAAAACCCUCUAAGCUGAAGAGUGUGUGUGUGUGUGUGUGUGUGUGUGUGUGUGUGUGUUCUGGCUUCCUCGCAAUUCAACCAAUGUCUGCUCCGUUCACCCCAGUCCCAGGGUAGAGUCUGAACCAUUUGCCAGAACCUAUGAGAUGCACGUGCGAGAGCUCCAAAACUGGGAGGGGGCGGCCCAACAUUUCAGCGGCAGAAGAAAAGGGCUUUCUAGGAAUAACAAGAAUUAUGGCUCCUGUGGAAGCUCCGGCGCCGGGCACCGCAAGCAGCACUGCUGCUGUCCACGACUCCUCCACCCAUCCCAAGGCGGAAGAGAUGUGUGAAGACAAAGACCCAUCUCCUUAAAAACCCCUGGCCUCAACUGGACUGCGUGCUCAGCCCUCUGCCUCUAUGCUGAGCUGCUCACCUGGCCUGGCCUGGCCUGGCCUGCCCAGGUGUACUCUCUCCACUCAACCACGUAACCCCACUCUCCCCCAGUCUGAGCGACUGGGCACUCUCUCUCAGGUUCUGUCUGGAUGUUCUUACUGAUGUCCCUUCUCUAAUAAACCUUGCUAUUUUACCUUCCACUA